UACAGAGGGUGCGAGCGUUAAUCGGAAUUACUGGGCGUAAAGCGCACGUAGGCGGCUUGGUAUGUCGGGUGUGAAAUCCCCGGGCUCAACCUGGGAACUGCAUCCGAAACUGCCUUGCUAGAGUAUGGGAGAGGGAAGUGGAAUUUCCGGUGUAGCGGUGAAAUGCGUAGAUAUGCGGAGGAACACCGAUGGCGAAGGCAAUCCCCUGGGCCUGCACUGACGCUCAUGCACGAAAGCGUGGGGAGCAAACAGG
rnacentral:rRNA from 1 species